rnacentral:rRNA from 1 species
CUGUAGGUGACGCAGCUAACGCAUUAAGCUCUCCGCCUGGGGAGUACGGUCGCAAGAUUAAAACUCAAAGGAAUUGACGGGGGCCCGCACAAGCGGUGGAGCAUGUGGUUUAAUUCGACGCAACGCGAAGAACCUUACCUGGCCUUGACAUGCAGAGAACUUUCCAGAGAUGGAUUGGUGCCUUCGGGAACUCUGACACAGGUGCUGCAUGGCCGUCGUCAGCUCGUGUCGUGAGAUGUUGGGUUAAGUCCCGCAACGAGCGCAACCCUCGCCUUUAGUUGCCAUCAUUCAGUUGGGCACUCUAAAGGGACUGCCGGUGAUAAGCCGGAGGAAGGUGGGGAUGACGUCAGGUCAUCAUGGCCCUUACGGCCAGGGCUACACACGUGCUACAAUGGUGCGUACAGAGGGCUGCAAACCCGCGAGGGGGAGCUAAUCUCACAAAACGCAUCGUAGUCCGGAUCGGAGUCUGCAACUCGACUCCGUGAAGUCGGAAUCGCUAGUAAUCGCGAAUCAGAAUGUCGCGGUGAAUACGUUCCCGGGCCUUGUACACACCGCCCGUCACACCAUGGGAGUGGAUUGCACCAGAAGUAGUUAGUCUAACCU